GCUGGUUUUGCUCAGUGGAUAGAGCACUGGCCUGCAGACCAAAGGCUGCGGGUUCAAUUCCUGGUAAAGGGCA
rnacentral:tRNA from 1 species